AUAGGGUAGCCGACGUGCCUUCCCAACGAGCAAGUGGGUCUCCGCCUAGCCUCUCCCGGAUGCUCUUUGCCGCUCCUUAGUUGAGUUUCGGCAAAACGCAAAGGGCCUCUUCUUCCUUUCAUAUGCACCAGCGGCCACUCCACAAACACAGUUGGAGGGUCUCACAAGACUUACAAGCUCCAGAUUUACAACAUUUGAUGCGCG
rnacentral:lncRNA from 1 species